ACUUGCCUGAACAGACAAAAUGGCUGCUGCACAACCGGAUGUUGCGUUUGAAAUGGCGGAAGCAGCACCGAGCACUUCACAUUCCCUCAUGCAGGCGACACACCUACUGAAGAUAAAGCUAAAGUGUUGAAGGCAUUCAUGAUGGGUCUCUUUCCCUCCCUCUCCCUCCUAAGAAGAGCUGGAAACAUGGGGCUGGAUCGCCAUUUGUUUUUGAUGGACUUUGACAAACUGAAUUUACAGGCUACGGGGAAAUUGCCAAGCAGCUUGGUGAAAAAAGGUCCACUUGUUGGAGCAAUCAUUAGAAAAUGGAAGAAGCUAAACUGUCAAUCUCCCUUGGACUGGGGCUCCAUGCAAGAUAUCACCUCGUGGGGUCUCAAUGAUCCUAAGAAAGAGAUAACUGAAAAGCCUGCGCCUCUAUAGCCAGGCAACCAAAAUGACUCAUCACAUACUCUUCUGUGAAGGCUUGGGUUGUUCACAGCAUCAGUUUGUCCGCACAGCCGAGUCCAUCCUUAUCAUUGAUACAUUCCUUCCACUGAGAAGACCCAUUUAGUCCCCUGCACACUUCUGACCUGCUGUACUGAUAAAGUCACUCUUCAUAAUGGCUGAUACAUGCACAAUCACAGAUGGAAAGCUGUUUGCUAGUAAUCAUGUACAUUAUAAGAGUCAAUUUUAGAAAAUAAUACUGUAUUAGGCCAACUAUGAAUUCAAAUUCAAAUGUCUAUGAAUACAUACAGUUCCUUUAAUUUGUGGAUUUUUUUCAUGCCAAUAAA